rnacentral:rRNA from 1 species
UACCAGCGCCACAAGUGGGAGCCACGUUUAUUGGGCUUAAAGCGUUCGUAGCCGGCUUUGUAAAUCUCUUGUGAAAUUGUCAGACUUAAUUUGACAGCGCGCAAGAGCGACUGCAAAACUAGGGACCGGGAGGGGAUAGGAGUAUUCCAGGGGGAGCGGUAAAAUGCUAUAAUCCUUGGAGGACUACCUGUGGCGAAGGCGCCUAUCCAGAACGGGUCCGACGGUGAGGAACGAAAGCUGGGGGAGCGAUCCGG